GCUUGUGGUAGUCGAAUGUUAAACGGGAACAUCCUGGCUCAUAUAUCGGCUUUAAUAGUCGGUAUGAUGAUGUCCAUUGGAUGGGCCACGCCAUGGGAAAAAGCUAAAGCCUAGAUGUUCAUGUAUAUCACUCAUUUAUCUUUUUUUAAUCUUUAUUUUAACCACAACAUAUAUGUUUAAAUGCAUUUAUCCUCCACUUUGCAUUUCCUUGCAUAUAAAAAUUAAAAAAAUAAUAAUAAUAAAAGAAAAAAUAUUUGCCUCUUGUCUUGAUCACUCAAUAUCUUGUCUCUAGUAUAAUGAAUCUUGUUCAUCCUAUCAUGCUCCCUCUUUCUAUGUUCGUAUGCUUUGGUUUGGUUACAGAUAUCGCUCAAGUGAGUACCUCCAUAGUCUUUUUAAAUUAAGCAUGGUGCUUAGGUUAAAUAGACUACCUUAAUCAAACAAGACAUGGUGUUAAGUUUGAUUAUUGAACCAAACAUACUUGCAUGGAACUUGGUUGCACUUUUGGACUAACGCCUGUAGCGAGAACAUCGAUAUCUCUAUGGGUAAGUCUUGAGAUCAUUCAUGGAGACAACUUGAGAUCCUCAUGGUCGAAGACAAGUUUCUUGGCCAAAGAGAACUUCGAUGAAACUAAGAACAUCAUCGAGGUAAGUGGCCACCUUCUUAAGAGUUUUCUAGGAGUUUGAUCCUUGAUAGAAGAAGUUGACAUGCUAGAACUCAUCCUUGCUAACAAUUCAACAAGACUAAAAUCUACAUGUCUUAACUUCUUUUAUAUAUUUUGUGUGGA
rnacentral:lncRNA from 1 species